CUACGGGGCGCUCCAGUGAGGAAUAUUGGUCAAUGGGCGCGAGCCUGAACCAGCCAUCCCGCGUGCAGGAUGACGGCCCUAUGGGUUGUAAACUGCUUUUCUAUGCCAAGAAACCUGAUUACGUGUAAUCAGUUGCCGGUAGCAUAGGAAUAAGCAUCGGCUAACUCCGUGCCAGGCAGCCGCGGUAAUACGGAGGAUGCAAGCGUUAUCCGGAUUCAUUGGGUUUAAAGGGUGCGCAGGUGGGCUUGUAAGUCAGUGGUGAAAUGCUGCCGCUUAACGGUAGAACUGCCAUUGAUACUGCGAGUCUUGAGUAUGGUUGAGGUAGGCGGAAUGUGCUGUGUAGCGGUGAAAUGCAUAGAUAUGACACAGAACGCCAAUUGCGAAGGCAGCUUACUAAGCCAUUACUGACGCUGAGGCACGAAAGCGUGGGGAGCGAACAGGAUUAGAUACCCCCGUAGUC
rnacentral:rRNA from 1 species